GACGAACGCUGGCGGCGUGCUUAACACAUGCAAGUCGAACGAAGUGGCGAACGGGUGAGUAACGCGUAAUCAACCUGCCCUUCAGAGGGGGACAACAGUUGGAAACGACUGCUAAUACCGCAUACUGAUGGAGGGGAAUGCGGCUGAUUUGCUAGUUGGAGGGGUAACGGCCCACCAAGGCGAUGAUCAGUAGGCGGUCUGAGAGGGAGGACGGCCACAUUGGGACUGGGAAACCGGCCAGACUUCUACGGGGGGGAGCAAUGGGGAAUCUUCCGCAAUGGGCGAAAAUCUGAAGGGGCAACUCCGCGUGGGUGAUGACGGCCUUCGGGUUGUAAAGCUCUGUUAAUCGGGACGCGGUACCGGAAUAGAAAGCCACGGCUAACUACGUGCCAGCAGCCGCGGUAAUAC
rnacentral:rRNA from 1 species